rnacentral:rRNA from 1 species
CCUACGGGAGGCAGCAGUGAGGAAUAUUGGUCAAUGGGCGCUAGCCUGAACCAGCCAAGUAGCGUGAAGGAUGACUGCCCUACGGGUUGUAAACUUCUUUUAUAUGGGAAUAAAGUGCACAAUGUAUCCUGCUUUGCAUGUACCUUAUGAAUAAGGAUCGGCUAAUUCCGUGCCAGCAGCCGCGGUACUACGGAGGAUCCGAGCGUUAUCCGGAUUUAUUGGGUGUAAAGGGAGCGUAGGCGGGUUGUAAAGUCAGUUGUGAAAUUUUGCGGCCUAACCGGAAAAUUGCAGUUGAUACUGGCAGCCUUGAGUACAGUAGAGGUAGGCGGAAUUCGUGGUGUAGCGGUGAAAUGCUUAGAUAUCACGAAGAACUCCGAUUGCGAAGGCAGCCUGCUGGACUGCGACUGACGCUGAUGCUCGAAAGUGUGGGUAUCAAACAGGAUUAGAUACCCUAGUAGUC